rnacentral:rRNA from 1 species
CCUACGGGGGGCUGCAGUGGGGAAUAUUGGACAAUGGGGGGAACCCUGAUCCAGCCAUGCCGCGUGUGUGAAGAAGGCCCUCGGGUUGUAAAGCACUUUCAGUGAGGAAGAACGCCUGGUGGUUAAUACCCAUCAGGAAAGACAUCACUCACAGAAGAAGCACCGGCUAACUCCGUGCCAGCAGCCGCGGUAAUACGGAGGGUGCGAGCGUUAAUCGGAAUUACUGGGCGUAAAGCGCGCGUAGGUGGCUUGAUAAGCCGGUUGUGAAAGCCCCGGGCUCAACCUGGGAACGGCAUCCGGAACUGUCAAGCUAGAGGGCAGGAGAGGAAGGUAGAAUUCCCGGUGUAGCGGUGAAAUGCGUAGAGAUCGGGAGGAAUACCAGUGGCGAAGGCGGCCUUCUGGACUGACACUGACACUGAGGUGCGAAAGCGUGGGUAGCAAACAGGAUUAGAUACCCCUGUAGUC